rnacentral:rRNA from 1 species
AGUGAACGCUGGCGGUAGGCCUAACACAUGCAAGUCGAACGGCAGCACAGUAAGAGCUUGCUCUUACGGGUGGCGAGUGGCGGACGGGUGAGGAAUACAUCGGAAUCUACUUUUUCGUGGGGGAUAACGUAGGGAAACUUACGCUAAUACCGCAUACGACCUACGGGUGAAAGCAGGGGACCUUCGGGCCUUGCGCGAUUGAAUGAGCCGAUGUCGGAUUAGCUAGUUGGCGGGGUAAAGGCCCACCAAGGCGACGAUCCGUAGCUGGUCUGAGAGGAUGAUCAGCCACACUGGAACUGAAACACGGUCCAGACUCCUACGGGAGUCAGCAGUGGGGAAUAUUGGACAAUGGGCGCAAGCCUGAUCCAGCCAUACCGCGUGGGUGAAGAAGGCCUUCGGGUUGUAAAGCCCUUUUGUUGGGAAAGAAAUCCAGCCGGCUAAUACCUGGUUGGGAUGACGGUACCCAAAGAAUAAGCACCGGCUAACUUCGUGCCAGCCGCCGCUGUAACAC